GUCCUUAGUUACCAGCACGUUAUGUGGGCACUCUAAGGAGACUGCCGGUGGACAACCGGAGGAAGGUGGGGAUGACGUCAAGUCAUCAUGGCCCUUACGGCCUGGGCUACACACGUGCUACAAUGGUCGGUACAAAGGGUUGCCAAGCCGCGAGGUGGAGCUAAUCCCAUAAAACCGAUCGUAGUCCGGAUCGCAGUCUGCAACUCGACUGCGUGAAGUCGGAAUCGCUAGUAAUCGUGAAUCAGAAUGUCACGGUGAAUACGUUCCCGGGCCUU
rnacentral:rRNA from 1 species